GUGCUUGUUUCCACAGCAUGUGUGCUAAACCUGAACUAUACAUGGAAGACUAUCAUGGCUCCAGGCAAGGAUGACAUGCCAAUCUGUGAAACUUUCCAUACUUUU